rnacentral:rRNA from 1 species
UACGUAGGGUGCAAGCGUUGUCCGGAAUUAUUGGGCGUAAAGAGCUCGUAGGCGGUCUGUCGCGUCUGGUGUGAAAACUCGGGGCUCAACUCCGAGCUUGCAGUCGAUACGGGCAGACUAGAGUUCGGCAGGGGAGACUGGAAUUCCUGGUGUAGCGGUGAAAUGCGCAGAUAUCAGGAGGAACACCGGUGGCGAAGGCGGGUCUCUGGGCCGGUACUGACGCUGAGGAGCGAAAGCGUGGGGAGCGAACAGG